GAUAAACGCUAGCGGCAGGCUUAACACAUGCAAGUCGAGGGGCAGCAUAGAUUGUAGCAAUACAAUUGGUGGCGACCGGCGCACGGGUGCGUAACGCGUAUGCAACCUGCCCGUCACAGGGGGAUAAUCCGGAGAAAUCUGGUCUAAUACCCCAUAACAUAUGGAUCGGCAUCGGUUCAUGUUGAAAUUUUCGGAGGGGACGGAUGGGCAUGCGUAGCAUUAGCUUGUUGGUGAGGUAACGGCUCACCAAGGCGACGAUGCUUAGGGGGACUGAGAGGUUUUCCCCCCACACUGGUACUGAGACACGGACCAGACUCCUACGGGAGGCAGCAGUGAGGAAUAUUGGUCAACGGGCGCAAGCCUGAACCAGCCAUGCCGCGUGCAGGAUGACGGCUCUAUGAGUUGUAAACUGCUCUUGUACGAGGGUAAAGUGGGUUACGUGUAACCUUUUGAAAGUAUCGUACGAAUAAGGAUCGGCUAACUCCGUGCCAGCCGCCGCCGUAA
rnacentral:rRNA from 1 species